AUGAAACUUGUCUGACAUUUCUGAGAAAGACAACUGAGUUACAUGAAGGCAGGUGGAAUAAAUGGGCUGUCACACGCUGAAGAAUGAGCCUUCGAGACUAUUCACUAUACCUCAUGGAAACUUUGAAAUGCUGGAGUUCACUACAUGAAUACAUUGUUGUGUUUUUGUUCCUUACAACGAUCAGCAAAGGGUCAGCAUGUGAGGCUCCUUCCAGUCCUGAGUGCUUCAGAAGAAAAACUGAAGCGUUUGUUUACUGGUGUGAAUGGAGCAUGAUGAACACCACUGAGAGCAAUGUGACUUUCGAUCUUCACAUUAAUGAAAGAAAAUUUGGGAGCAUUAAGAAGACCUGGAUUCAGUUCGACAAGGAAGAGAUUAUUAAAAAUCGUAAUGUUCAUAUUUGGGUGGAAGCUCACGUAGGAAACUCCAGCUGCACAUCGACCAAGACGUCUGUUGUACUCGGGCACACGGUUAAGUAUGAAGCACCAAAAGAUAUUUCCAUGUCCUGGUUAAAAAACAACCUCAGCUUAAGCUGGGCAGCUGCAGAGAAGAAACAUCCAGCUUCAGCCGAAAUCCUGUUCCGCCGAGAUGCACGGCCCACAGAAUCAUGGGAAAAAAUAACAAAGAAUACCACCAGUGAAACUUCUAUAUACCAUGUCAUUGUUGAGAAUCUGUUGAAGGAUUCAGAUUACCAGGUUAAAAUCAGACAACGGUCCACUCAGGCCCCUAACCCACUGUGGAGCGACUGGUCUCCAGUGGUGAUUGUUCCUGCAGAGCUUGAACAAAAACCUGAAGUCACCAUGAUGCAAAGACUUUUAAAUGGGACUCGAGCAGUGACGCUAACGUGGAAGCCGAUGCCACAUGCAGUGACGUACAGUCUGAAUGACACACAGUCUUCUAGUGGGUGUCCUUGUAAGAAAAAGAGAGAUCUCAUCCACACGACUACAUACACUACUUAUGUCUCGUACUCUGCCGUCAGCAUCUCUGUUAUCGGCGCAAACGCAGCGGGGAAAUCUUCCCCAGCAAUCUUACAAGUACCGGCCGAACCUGCUGCAGACUUACAAAUUUGUGACAAAACGUUACUGGAUGAAGAUUUGGAUAAGAAAACUUGCCUUGAGUGGUACGAGCUUCAAGAUGGAGAUUCGAGGCCAGAAAACGUGAUGACCUUAACAUCAAGGAAGAGGAAAAGACAAAGGAAGCAUAUAGAAAUGAAUAUGAAAGACUACGUUCGCUACCUUUACUAUGAACACAGAUGUGAUGGUGGGAAACCAAAGACAGUUCAAAUGUGCCUCUUUUAUCAGAAAGAAGGUGUUCCACUCAAAGAACCUCAGGACUUCAUUGUUUUUAGUGAAACACACACUUCUGCUAACUUGUCUUGGAAAGCGAUUCCCUCUGUGGACCAGCAAGGUUUCCUCACACACUACAGCCUCUGCAGCGUGAACAUCAGCUCGCAGGAUGAGCCGAAAGAGUGCCAUAACAUAUCAGCCUCAGUGAUGAGAUAUCGCCUGGAAAACUUGACACCGGCAGCGAAAUACAACAUCAGCCUGGUUGGAGUGACACGAGUGGGGGAAGGACCUGCAGCCACAGUAACUAUCGAUGUGUUACCAGAGAAGCUUGGGAAUGUGUGGUGGAGUCUCAGCUUGCUGUUUCUGUUCUUUUUGCUCACAACAAUGUGCACCUGUAUCUUGAAGAGAAUCAAAAACAAGAUCUUCUCUCCAGUGCCGACACCUGUUAUUCCAGAUUUCAUCCCUUAUCAACCAGAGAGCCAGUGAUGGGAGUUUUUAUUCAACUUCUACCACAGCUCAUCCGAUUCCCCAGAUUUGAGCUGAUCCAGAAGAUUCCUGAGAACCAGUUCCCAACGACAUAAAAAAAAAAAAAUUAUUUACUUGGAGAAACAAAUCUCACAAAUGCCUUCACAAUGAAAAAAGUCUCUUUAAUAAUAAACAAAUGCAUCUUCACUUAUAAUAAAUUGCCUCUUUAAUAGUAAGGAAAUGUGUGUGAAGGGGGUUUGAUAAAAACAUAAAACAAUAACCUUAAACAAAAUAAAGCCUGCAGACUUUAGGUUAUCAUUAGGAAAGUAUAAAGUCUGGCACAAAUAGCAUUAAAUAUGCCCUGAUACAGAUAACGUAGUGGAAAGAUGUUUUGUAAUAUUCACUCCAGCUCAUUUCAGAAUUCUCAAAAUCACCCUCAAUCAGAGAAGUUAAGACAGCAGAGAAGCCUCAAUGGGGCUAAAGACCAGAGUUUCUGGCUGACAGUAUCUGCUGAAAAGUGGUUUGCAUUAAGUCAAGGAAGAAUCAGAACAUCCUGGAUGUGCAAUUCCCCACCACUUGUAUGCCCUAAAGAAAGAGCAUCAUCACCCUGAUUGGCCAAGAGGGGGAAUGCACCAAGCUGCUCUCAAUUCUUAAUCAGGAGCCGGUACUCUCACCAUGUGCAACAGGUGAUCUGAAUAACCAGCCAAACUGAGGGGAGUUGUGUGACAUUCAGCUAAAAAUGAAUUGGGGAAAGGGAAAUGACAACAGGUACCACAGAACGAGCAGAGACUUAAUAGAAAUGAAAGACAGCGAAAGGAAGAGCAAACAUCCUGAGUUAACACAUGAUGAGAAUGGGGCAGCAAAUCAGCUCAUGUGUUAAUAGGACAUUAGUAUACCUAUUAGCAUGCUAUAGUUGGGAGUGAGAAUGUGUUGGCUAAUGUGUGUGUGUGCUGGAUGUGUGGAGGCUUAAGUAGAAAAUUAAAAGACAGGUGAAGAGAGGCAGCUGGUGCGACUGGAUGUGUUGCACGUACAACAUUUCCAGGGGAGUAGAUGAAACGGAGGAAAGUCCCGUUGUAAGACGAUGUGAGAAAACCAACAAUUGAUUUAAUAGAAAGAAAGGAGGAGGUGCAUGAGCUGACGCUGCACCCGCUACAUCCAGAGGGCAAGUCUGUCCCUAAGGACGCAGAGGAGACCGCUGUCCUCGUAAGACAGUGGGAUGACUGCAUGGACGAGGACGUGGAGA